rnacentral:rRNA from 1 species
CAUGCAGUCGAACGGCAGCACGGGAGCUUGCUCCUGGUGGCGAGUGGCGAACGGGUGAGUAAUAUAUCGGAACGUACCCUAGAGUGGGGGAUAACGCAGCGAAAGUUGCGCUAAUACCGCAUACGAUCUACGGAUGAAAGUGGGGGAUCGCAAGACCUCAUGCUCAUGGAGCGGCCGAUAUCUGAUUAGCUAGUUGGUAGGGUAAAAGCCUACCAAGGCUUCGAUCAGUAGCUGGUCUGAGAGGACGACCAGCCACACUGGAACUGAGACACGGUCCAGACUCCUACGGGAGGCAGCAGUGGGGAAUUUUGGACAAUGGGCGCAAGCCUGAUCCAGCAAUGCCGCGUGAGUGAAGAAGGCCUUCGGGUUGUAAAGCUCUUUUGUCAGGGAAGAAACGGUGGACUCUAAUACAGAUCACUAAUGACGGUACCUGAAGAAUAAGCACCGGCUAACUACGUGCCAGCAGCCGCGGUAAUACGUAGGGUGCAAGCGUUAAUCGGAAUUACUGGGCGUAAAGCGUGCGCAGGCGGUUUGGUAAGACAGAUGUGAAAUCCCUGGGCUCAACCUAGGAAUUGCAUUUGUGACUGCCCGACUAGAGUGUGUCAGAGGGGGGUAGAAUUCCACGUGUAGCAGUGAAAUGCGUAGAGAUGUGGAGGAAUACCGAUGGCGAAGGCAGCCCCCUGGGAUAACACUGACGCUCAUGCACGAAAGCGUGGGGAGCAAACAGGAUUAGAUACCCUGGUAGUCCACGCCCUAAACGAUGUCUACUAGUUGUUGGGUCUUAAUUGACUUA